rnacentral:rRNA from 1 species
UACAGAGGGUGCAAACGUUGUUCGGAUUUACUGGGCGUAAAGCGCGUGUAGGCGGCUUGGCAAGUCGGAUGUGAAAGCCCACGGCUCAACCGUGGAAGCGCAUCCGAAACGGCCUCGCUCGAGUCUCGGAGAGGAAGGUGGAAUGCUUGGUGUAGAGGUGAAAUUCGUAGAUAUCAAGCAGAACACCUGCGGCGAAGGCGGCCUUCUGGACGAUGACUGACGCUGAGACGCGAAAGCGUGGGGAGCAAACAGG